CCCUGGCUCAGGACGAACGCUGGCGGCGUGCCUAAUACAUGCAAGUCGAGCGGAGUAGAUGAGAUGCUUGCAUCUCAGAUACUUAGCGGCGGACGGGUGAGUAACACGUGGGUAACCUGCCUGUAAGAUUGGGAUAACAUUCGGAAACGAAUGCUAAUACCGAAUACGCGAUAUGGUCGCAUGACUGAAUCGGGAAAGAUGGAGCAAUCUAUCACUUACAGAUGGACCCGCGGCGCAUUAGCUAGUUGGUGAGGUAACGGCUCACCAAGGCGACGAUGCGUAGCCGACCUGAGAGGGUGAUCGGCCACACUGGGACUGAGACACGGCCCAGACUCCUACGGGAGGCAGCAGUAGGGAAUCUUCCGCAAUGGACGAAAGUCUGACGGAGCAACGCCGCGUGAGUGAUGAAGGUUUUCGGAUCGUAAAGCUCUGUUGCCAGGGAAGAAUGCUUGGGAGAGUAACUGCUCCCAAGGUGACGGUACCUGAGAAGAAAGACCCCGGCUAACUA
rnacentral:rRNA from 1 species